CUGGUUCAUUUAAGAAUUGAAUGCUUUUUUUUGUUACUUCAUUGAGGUGUAAAGCGUUGACCGAAAUACAUUUUGUAUGAAACGCGGAGGCGCUUCAUUCUGAAAAUGUGCGCACGGUCAACGAUUUUACAACCCUAUGCAGUUACAAGAAGAAGCAUUCAAUAUUUAUAAUUACAUGUUUUAGCUAGGAUCAUGAAAACACGAUUUUUAUCAAGUUUUUAUUAAAUUCACCUUUGCACUUUAUUGUGGGACCUCGUGUCAUCAUGAAUAGUGAUUUUCCAUCGUUGUGUAAUGUAACAUGAGAUGUGCAGUUAGCCAAUCAGAAUAACGAAUUGUAAUGAAACAUACAUCUUAUGUUAUUAUUAGUUAUAUAAAGGCAAAAUCAAUCGCUUUCGAUAUAUUACACAGCGUACUGCCCGCUUUACAUUUUAAAUAGUCAACACUUUGAGUGUUUAUAGAAUCGUAAAAAAUUAUGAUAUUUUUUUUUAAAUAAUAUAAUAAUGGCAAAAUUGCACUAUUGGGUGAAAUAGCUUUCCUUAUUAUCGGCAUC
rnacentral:lncRNA from 1 species